rnacentral:rRNA from 1 species
UACGGAGGGUGCAAGCGUUAUCCGGAUUCACUGGGUUUAAAGGGUGCGUAGGUGGGCAGGUAAGUCAGUGGUGAAAUCUCCGGGCUUAACCCGGAACUGCCGUUGAUACUAUUUGUCUUGAAUAUUGUGGAGGUAAGCGGAAUAUGUCAUGUAGCGGUGAAAUGCUUAGAUAUGACAUAGAACACCAAUUGCGAAGGCAGCUCGCUACACAUAUAUUGACGCUGAGGCACGAAAAGCGUGGGGAUCAAACAGG